ACGAACGCUGGCGGCGUGCCUAAUACAUGCAAGUAGAACGCUGAAGAGAGGAGCUUGCUCUUCUUGGAAGAGUUGCGAACGGGUGAGUAACGCGUAGGUAACCUGCCUUGUAGCGGGGGAUAACUAUUGGAAACGAUAGCUAAUACCGCAUAACAAUGGGUGACCCAUGUCAUUCAUUUGAAAGGGGCAACUGCUCCACUACAAGAUGGACCUGCGUUGUAUUAGCUAGUAGGUGAGGUAACGGCUCACCUAGGCGACGAUACAUAGCCGACCUGAGAGGGUGAUCGGCCACACUGGGACUGAGACACGGCCCAGACUCCUACGGGAGGCAGCAGUAGGGAAUCUUCGGCAAUGGGGGCAACCCUGACCGAGCAACGCCGCGUGAGUGAAGAAGGUUUUCGGAUCGUAAAGCUCUGUUGUAAGUCAAGAACGAGUGUGAGAGUGGAAAGUUCACACUGUGACGGUAGCUUACCAGAAAGGGACGGCUAACUACGUG
rnacentral:rRNA from 1 species